rnacentral:rRNA from 1 species
UACGUAGGGGGCAAGCGUUGUCCGGAAUCAUUGGGCGUAAAGAGCGUGUAGGCGGUCCGGUAAGUCCGCUGUGAAAGUCAAGGGCUCAACCCUUGAAUGCCGGCGGAAACUGCCGGGCUAGAGUCCGGAAGAGGCAAGUGGAAUUCCCGGUGUAGCGGUGAAAUGCGCAGAUAUCGGGAGGAACACCUAUGGCGAAGGCAGCUUGCUGGGACGGUACUGACGCUGAGACGCGAAAGCGUGGGGAGCAAACAGG